rnacentral:piRNA from 1 species
AGCAGUGAUUAUGUGUCUGACACUUGUGA